UACGGAGGGGCUAGCGUUGUUCGGAAUUACUGGGCGUAAAGGGCGCGUAGGCGGCCACUGCAAGUCAGUUGUGAAAUCUCCGGGCUUAACCCGGAAAGGUCAACUGAUACUGCAGGCUAGAGUGCAGAAGGGCAACUGGAAUUCUCGGUGUAGCGGUGAAAUGCGUAGAUAUCGAGAGGAACACCUGCGGCGAAGGCGGUUGCUGGCUGGAAUUGACGCUGAGGCGCGAAGCGUGGGAGCAACAGG
rnacentral:rRNA from 1 species